rfam:Virgibacillus necropolis strain LMG 19488 chromosome, complete genome.
UCCAUGGUGACGUGGAAUCUGAAGGAAGCGAGCGGCAAACCUCCGGUCUGAGGAACACGAACUUCAUAGAAGGCUAGGUGCAAUUGGAUGAGUUUGCUAAACAAAACGAAGUCCUUUCUACCAAAGGUUGCACAAAGUAAAUGAAGCAGAUAGAUGGAGGGAAAGAUUACGUU